UACGAAGGGGGCUAGCGUUGCUCGGAAUACUGGGCGUAAAGGGCGCGUAGGCGGUUCUAUAAGUCAGGCGUGAAAUUCCUGGGCUUAACCUGGGGGCUGCGCUUGAGACUGUGGGACUUGAGGUCAGAAGAGGGUCGUGGAAUUCCCAGUGUAGAGGUGAAAUUCGUAGAUAUUGGGAAGAACACCGGUGGCGAAGGCGGCGACCUGGUCUGAUACUGACGCUGAGGCGCGACAGCGUGGGGAGCAAACAGG
rnacentral:rRNA from 1 species